rnacentral:rRNA from 1 species
UGGGGAAUUUUUCGCAAUGGGGGAAACCCUGACGAAGCAACGCCGCGUGGAGGAUGAAGGCCUUCGGGUCGUAAACUCCUGUCGACCGGGACGAAAGUGAUCUGACCUAAUACGUCGGGUUAUUGACUGUACCGGUGGAGGAAGCUCCGGCCAACUCUGUGCCAGCAGCCGCGGUAAUACAGAGGGAGCAAGCGUUGUUCGGAAUUACUGGGCGUAAAGGGCGCGUAGGCCGUUUCGUAAGUCUCACGUGAAAUCCCUUGGCUUAACUGAGGAACUGCGAGAGAAACUGCGAGACUUGAGUUCGGGAGAGGGAAGCGGAAUUCCGGGUGUAGCGGUGAAAUGCGUAGAUAUCCGGAGGAACACCGGUGGCGAAGGCGGCUUCCUGGACCGACACUGACGCUGAGGCGCGAAAGCUAGGGGAGCAAACGGGAUUAGAUACCCCGGUAGUCCUAGCUGUAAACGAUGAGUGCUGGGUGUAGGGGGUAUUGACCCCCCCUGUGCCGAAGCUAACGCAUUAAGCACUCCGCCUGGGG